AAUCGAACUCCUUAAACAGACAAUAUUCUGACGAUAUGUUAUAUCGAAACAAUUUUUUGUAUACGCCCAUUAAAACAUUAAAAGAUAUAUCAGAAAAAGAAAAACAAAAUUAUAUAAGCUUUGAUAAUGUUACUAGGAUAUGCAAUAAUAGUGAAUUUGCAAAUUUUAAAGAUUUUAGAUUAGAUGAAGAAUUAUUUUUUAGUCCUAAUAGAUCAUUAGAUUUGUAUGUUAUAAGUAAUGACGGUAGCAGAGGUGUAGCUGCAAACUUAUCAGUAAAUAAUAACUGGUCCAAUUCUAGAUCCAGUAAUAACAUAAAUCAAGAUAUAACACCUAUUAAUCAUUAUCCUAACAUGAGGUAUGACAAUACUUUUGAAAACAGUAGAUCGGUUAUCAUUUAUGAAACAAAUCAAAAUGUGCAAGCAAAUUAUAGAACGAGUGUAUUUAGUAAUUUGAGUCCGAACAGUCAGUCAAAUUUGAGUGGCAUUUCUAGUCAAGAUAUACGAAAAAGUAUACAUAAUAGACCGUCAAGUCUAUAUUAUAACCAAGAUAUAAACGAUAGUCCAAAUUUAACAGACUCCCCGAAUAUAAAUUUUGUCUUAGAUAGAAACUGUACUCCACAUCUAAACCAUUCCCCACAUCUAAACCAUUCCCCACAUCUAAACCAUUCCCCACAUCUAAACCAUACCCCACAUCUAAACCAUACCCCACAUCUAAACCAUAUCCCACAUCUAAACCAUAUCCCACAUCUAAACCAUACCCCACAUCUAAACCAUACCCCACAUCUAAACCACACCCCCAAUACAAACCAUAGUCCAUAUAUGAACCAUACCCCCAAUACAAACCAUAGUCCAUAUAUGAACCAUACUCCGCGUGAAACUGAUAUACCCAACAUGAGUCAGCCUUUAAGAAUGGAAAACACCAUAUCGCAACGACCUAGUCGCAUGGAAUUAAUAAACGAAUUAUAUGAAAGCAAUUCUUAUUUAAAUCAUACCCCCCAAAUAGGAUACAACAAUAUAUACGGUGGGGACCAUUUUGCUAGUACACAAAAUAUAUCAAAUACUUAUUAUUAUAAACUAAAAAAAAAUGAAACAAAAA
rnacentral:lncRNA from 1 species